UACGGGGGGGGCAAGCGUUGUUCGGAAUUACUGGGCGUAAAGGGUUCGUAGGUGGCCGGCUAAGUCGAACGUGAAAUCCCCGGGCUCAACCCGGGAACUGCGUCCGAUACUGGAAGGCUUGAAUCCGGGAGAGGGAUGCGGAAUUCCAGGUGUAGCGGUGAAAUGCGUAGAUAUCUGGAGGAACACCGGUGGCGAAGGCGGCAUCCUGGACCGGUAUUGACGCUGAGGCGCGAAAGCCAGGGGAGCAAACGGG
rnacentral:rRNA from 1 species